GAAAGUGCCGGUAAUACUCGAUGACGUCCAGGUGUCGCAUGGCAUUUGGAUCAAAGGUGGGGAUCUUCGGACCUGCCGGUAUUGGAUCGGCCCACGUCCUAUCAGCUUGUUGGUGGGGUAAUGGCCUACCAAGGCGGUGACGGGUAGCCGGCGUGAGAGCGCGACCGGCCACAUCGGGACUGAGACACUGCCCGGACACCUACGGGUGGCUGCAGCAACGAAUAUUCCGCAAUGGGCGAAAGCCUGACGGAGCGACGCCGCGUGGAGGAUGAAGUCCCUCGGGAUGUAAACUUCAAUAGUACGUCAGGAAGUGCGACGGCUUAAUAGGCCGUCAAGUUGACCAGUGUACGAAAGGGGUGGCUAACUCCGUGCCAGCAGCCGCGGUAAUACGGAGACCCCUAGCGUUGUUCGGAAUUACUGGGCUUAAAGCGGGGGUAGGCGGGACGGUAAGUACUUUGUGAAAGCCCCGGGCUCAACUCGGGAAUUGCUUAGUAUACUGUCGUCCUUGAGGCAGGCAGGGGUCACUGGAACCUUAGGUGGAGCGGUGAAAUGCGUAGAUAUCUAAGGGAACGCCUGUGGCGAAAGCGGGUGACUGGGCCUGUACUGACGCUGAGACCCGAAAGCGUAGGUAGCGAACGGGAUUAGAUACCCCGGUAGUCUACGCCGUAAACGAUG
rnacentral:rRNA from 1 species